UUCAUAACAUUUGCCAAACUUGAUGUCAAAUCAUUUGAGGAAUGCGAGCAGAUAAUGCUACAGCGAGGCAGGAUAUUCCUGGAUAAGCUGCUGGAGGCCAGGGGGAAAGUUGCCAAACAAGCCUUGUCAUUUAUCAGUGAUGAUUGUAAAAUUCUCACCCACUCCCACUCUAGAGUAGUAUUACAA
rnacentral:lncRNA from 1 species